UUACAGCUCUCGCUAGGCGCGCACACGCUCACCCGCGAACGCCGGAAAGUCAGGCUAAAAGUGUCUGCUGCUGCUGCUGCCGCCCCCCACUCCGCCUCCAGGAGAGAACCUAAAGAAAUGGUGUUACCUGGCAAGAGAUCUGCUAUCCUUUAUGAAAAAUCCAGCCAAGGUAAUGCUUAUUUUGAAUUGAUUUUUUAAAAUCUGUUUAACUCUGAUACAUUUGACUGUUUAAUUUUCUUGAUGACUGGUUUUGAGCUAUUGAGUAAUCCAUCAAAAAAGUAACUCAUUAUCUGAAAAGUAGAAGGAAUGAUUUUUGAUGACUACUAUAUAUGGGAAAUGAUCGGUCAAUUUUAAAAUAUAUACUAGCUUAGGAGUUCCUGUCUUGGCUCAGCAGAAAUGACUCCAACUAGGAAC
rnacentral:lncRNA from 1 species